CUCAUACGUGCAAGCAGGGCUGGGAACCAUCGGAUCUCCCUCUGAAUUUCUAGAACUCCUUGUUCCUGCUUGUUCCAACAAUAACAAAGGAAAAGGCCUUUCUUUGGUGGCAUUUUGGCUUUCUGCUGCAGUGAAUCAUGGAGAGAAUUUUACCUUUGAAGUAACUUAUUUGAAAAGUCAUACUCUGCGUGCUGAGGCUCGGUGGACUGGGAUCGCACUUCUUCACUUCCUCACGUCUCCUGAUUAUUCUUCUCUGGAUCAAAAUAUGCAUACAUUGUUGCAUUCCUUUGCUUAAUCUCAGCAGGAAACUUCACUUUAAAGCACCUUCAGAUGGUAAAAUGUAAGAAACCACCACGUGGGGACAGCUGUGGGUCCAUCCCAUCCAUUACCUGCUCCAGCAGCAGUCAGCACCAGGUGAUGCUGUGAGC